rnacentral:rRNA from 1 species
UACGGAGGGAGCUAGCGUUGUUCGGAAUUACUGGGCGUAAAGCGCACGUAGGCGGCGAUUCAAGUCAGAGGUGAAAGCCCGGGGCUCAACCCCGGAACUGCCUUUGAAACUAGAUUGCUAGAAUCCUGGAGAGGUGAGUGGAAUUCCGAGUGUAGAGGUGAAAUUCGUAGAUAUUCGGAAGAACACCAGUGGCGAAGGCGGCUAACUGGCCCAUUACUGACGCUGAGGCUCGAAAGCGUGGGGAGCAAACAGG